CAUUACCGCAGUUUACAACUCCCAAACCCCUGUGAACAUACCACUUGUUGCCUCGGCGGAUCAGCCCGCUCCCGGUAAAACGGGACGGCCCGCCAGAGGACCCCUAAACUCUGUUUCUAUAUGUAACUUCUGAGUAAAACCAUAAAUAAAUCAAAACUUUCAACAACGGAUCUCUUGGUUCUGGCAUCGAUGAAGAACGCAGCAAAAUGCGAUAAGUAAUGUGAAUUGCAGAAUUCAGUGAAUCAUCGAAUCUUUGAACGCACAUUGCGCCCGCCAGUAUUCUGGCGGGCAUGCCUGUUCGAGCGUCAUUUCAACCCUCAAGCACAGCUUGGUGUUGGGACUCGCGUUAAUUCGCGUUCCCCAAAUUGAUUGGCGGUCACGUCGAGCUUCCAUAGCGUAGUAGUAAAACCCUCGUUACUGGUAAUCGUCGCGGCCACGCCGUUAAACCCCCAACUUCUGAAUGUUGACCUCGGAUCAGGUAGGA
rnacentral:rRNA from 1 species